rnacentral:rRNA from 1 species
AUUGAACGCUGGCGGCAGGCCUAACACAUGCAAGUCGAACGGUAACAGGAAGAAGCUUGCUUCUUUGCUGACGAGUGGCGGACGGGUGAGUAAUGUCUGGGAAACUGCCUGAUGGAGGGGGAUAACUACUGGAAACGGUAGCUAAUACCGCAUAACGUCGCAAGACCAAAGAGGGGGACCUUCGGGCCUCUUGCCAUCGGAUGUGCCCAGAUGGGAUUAGCUAGUAGGUGGGGUAACGGCUCACCUAGGCGACGAUCCCUAGCUGGUCUGAGAGGAUGACCAACCACACUGGAACUGAGACACGGUCCAGACUCCUACGGGAGGCAGCAGUGGGGAAUAUUGCACAAUGGGCGCAAGCCUGAUGCAGCCAUGCCGCGUGUAUGAAGAAGGCCUUCGGGUUGUAAAGUACUUUCAGCGGGGAGGAAGGGAGUAAAGUUAAUACCUUUGCUCAUUGACGUUACCCGCAGAAGAAGCACCGGCUAACUCCGUG